CCUACGGGUGGCAGCAGUGAGGAAUAUUGGUCAAUGGACGAGAGUCUGAACCAGCCAAGUAGCGUGAAGGAUGACUGCUCUAUGGGCUGUAAACUUCUUUUAUAAAGGAAUAAAACGAGGCACGUGUGCCUUUUUGCAUGUACUUUAUGAAUAAGGAUCGGCUAACACCGUGCCAGCAGCCGCGGUAAUAAGGAGGAUCCGAGCGUUAUCCGGUUUUCUUGGGGUUAAAGGGAGCGUAGAUGGGUUGUUAAGUUAGUUGUGAAAGUUUGCGGCUCAACCGUAAAAUUGCAAUUAAUACUGGCAGUCUUGAGUACAGUUGGGGUAGGCGGAAUUCGUGGUGUAGCGGUGAAGUGCUUAGAUAUCACGAAGAACCCCGAUUGCGAGGGCAGCUUACUAAACUGUGACUGACAUUGAUGCUCGAAAGUGUGGGUAUCAAACAGGAUUAGAUACCCUUUAGUC
rnacentral:rRNA from 1 species